AAUGAGGUGUAUUGUGCAUUUUGUAUUUUGGUUACAAAGGUAGUUAGUUGCUCAUUAU
rnacentral:tRNA from 1 species